UACGGAGGGUGCAAGCGUUAUCCGGAUUCACUGGGUUUAAAGGGUGCGUAGGUGGGCAGUUAAGUCAGUGGUGAAAUCUCCGGGCUUAACCCGGAAACUGCCAUUGAUACUAUCUGUCUUGAAUACCGUGGAGGUGAGCGGAAUAUGUCAUGUAGCGGUGAAAUGCUUAGAUAUGACAUAGAACACCAAUUGCGAAGGCAGCUCACUACACGAUAUUGACACCGAGGCACGAAAGCGUGGGGAUCAAACAGGA
rnacentral:rRNA from 1 species